AUUGAACGCUGGCGGCAGGCCUAACACAUGCAAGUCGAGCGAGCGGCGGACGGGUGAGUAAUGUAUGGGGACUGCCCGAUAGAGGGGGAUAACUACUGGAAACGGUGGCUAAUACCGCAUACUAUCGGAUAACCCAUAUGGGAUUAGCUAGUAGGUGGGGUAAAGGCGCACCUAGGCGCCGAUCUCUAGCUGGUCUGAGAGGAUGAUCAGCCCCGCUGGGACGGAGACACGGCCCAGACGCCUACGGAGGCAGCGGUAGGGAAUAUUGCACAAGGGGCUCAAGCCUAAUGCUGCCAUGCCGCGUGUAUGAAGAAGGCCUUAGGGUUAUAAGGUACUUUAAGCGGGGAGACUUUACCCGCAGGUGACGCACCGGCUAACUCCGUGCCUGCAGCCGCGGUAAUUC
rnacentral:rRNA from 1 species